GCGGUGAAGUCAGACCGGAAGGACUGGUGGAGCGCUUAGAAGUGAGAAUGCCGGUAUGAGUAGCGAAAGAAGGGUGAGAAUCCCUUCCACCGAAUAUCUAAGGUUUCCUGAGGAAGGCUCGUCCGCUCAGGGUUAGUCGGGACCUAAGCCGAGGCCGAUAGGCGUAGGCGAUGGACAACAGGUAGAGAUUCCUGUACCAGUGCUAAUUGUUUAACCGAUGGGGUGACACAGAAGGAUAGGGAAUCGCACGAAUGGAAAUGUGCGUCCAAGCAGUGAGUGUGAGAAGUAGGCAAAUCCGCUUCUCGCGAAGCAUGAGCUGUGAUGGGGAAGGAAAUUAAGUACGGAAGUUCCUGAUUUCACGCUGUCAAGAAAAGCCUCUAGGAAGAGUAGUACUGCCCGUACCGCAAACCGACACAGGUAGAUGAGGAGAGAAUCCUAAGGUGAGCGAGAGAACUCUCGUUAAGGAACUCGGCAAAAUGACCCCGUAACUUCGGGAGAAGGGGUGCUCUAUUAGGGUGCAAGCCCGAGAGAGCCGCAGUGAAUAGGCCCAGGCGACUGUUUAGCAAAAACACAGGUCUCUGCAAAACCGUAAGGUGACGUAUAGGGGCUGACGCCUGCCCGGUGCUGGAAGGUUAAGAGGAGUGCUUAGCUUCGGCGAAGGUACGAAUUGAAGCCCCAGUAAACGGCGGCCGUAACUAUAACGGUCCUAAGGUAGCGAAAUUCCUUGUCGGGUAAGUUCCGACCCGCACGAAAGGCGCAACGAUCUGGGCACUGUCUCAACGAGAGACUCGGUGAAAUUAUAGUACCUGUGAAGAU
rnacentral:rRNA from 1 species